rnacentral:rRNA from 1 species
CCUACGGGUGGCAGCAGUCGGGAAUAUUGCGCAAUGGAGGAAACUCUGACGCAGUGACGCCGCGUAUAGGAAGAAGUUUUUCGGAAUGUAAACUAUUGUCGUUAGGGAAGAGAAAGGACAGUACCUAAGGAGGAAGCUCCGGCUAACUACGUGCCAGCAGCCGCGGUAAUACGUAGGGAGCAAGCGUUAUCCGGAUUUAUUGGGUGUAAAGGGUGCGUAGACGGAGAAGCAAGUUAGUUGUGAAAUCCCUCGGCUUAACUGAGGAACUGCAACUAAAACUACUUCCCUUGAGUACUGGAGAGGAAAGUGGAAUUCCUAGUGUAGCGGUGAAAUGCGUAGAUAUUAGGAGGAACACCAGUGGCGAAGGCGACUUUCUGGACAGUAACUGACGUUGAGGCACGAAAGUGUGGGGAGCAAACAGGAUUAGAUACCCCAGUAGUC